rnacentral:rRNA from 1 species
GACAGAGGUCUCGAGCGUUAGGCGGAAUCACUGGGCUUAAAGCGUGUGUAGGCGGAUUUUUAAGUACCUUGUGAAAUCCCACGGCUUAACCGUGGAACUGCUGGGUAUACUGGAAAUCUUGAGCCACCUAGGGGCGAGCGGAACAAACGGUGGAGCGGUGAAAUGCGUAGAUAUCGUUUGGAACGCCAAUGGUGAAAACAGCUCGCUAGGGGUGUGCUGACGCUGAGACACGAAAGCCAGGGGAGCAAACGGG